GUGAAUACAUUGAUGACACAGAGGAUUACAUUAACAUCCAGCUUGACAAUCAUCGGAAUCAGCUAAUUCAGGUAAUGUCUUUUAGGAUGGAUUUAGAAACUCUGCCUGUAUUUUAUGAUCAGUACAUAUCCCUUUUGAUAGUUAACAUAAUAAGUUCUCUGUCACAUGCAGCUAGAGCUGUUUCUGAGUUCCAGAACUGUUUGUGUGUCUAUAUAUUCUUUGGUGGCUGCAAUAUUUGGCAUGAACAUUCCAUAUACAUGGAACGAAAAUCAUGAGCAUGUAUUCAAAUGGGUAUGUACAGUGUAAAUUCUUGUUGGACCAUCACAUUAUCAAUUUUAAUGCUUAGGUCAAACCUCAAAUUGAAAAAAGAAAAAGAAAAAAGAAGGUCUUAUAUGUGUUGAUCAGUUGCAGAACAUGGAAUAAGUCAUUACAGUUUCAGUCUCCUUUGGUGUUCAAAGCUACAGAACUAUUAUAUAAUAUCAGGUGUAACUAAGUAAACUGAAUGGUUUUGUUGGAAUUCAUCAUCAGUGCAGAGAUAUAUAAGAAUUGUGAGAGGAACAAAUGAAUGAUAUAUUAUUGAUAAGAAACAUGCUAGCAGCACAUGAAACCUAAACUUAUCUAAAAUUUGCCAUCUCAUCCUAUUCUAAUUGCCCUACAGUUUAGUUGUCCUAUUAG
rnacentral:lncRNA from 1 species